rnacentral:rRNA from 1 species
GGUACGUGAGCUGGGUUUAGAACGUCGUGAGACAGUUCGGUCCCUAUCUGCCGUGGGUGUAGGAGACUUGAGAAGAGUUGCCCCUAGUACGAGAGGACCGGGGUGAACGCUCCACUGGUGGACCAGUUGUCGUGCCAACGGCAGUGCUGGGUAGCUAUGAUCGGACAGGAUAACCGCUGAAGGCAUCUAAGCGGGAAGCCCCCCUCAAAACAAGGU